GUAGUUAGCCGGGGCUUCCUCCUUGGCUACCGUCAUUUGUUUCGUCACCAAGGACAGAGGUUUACAACCCGAAAGCCUUCUUCCCUCACGCGGCGUUGCUGGGUCAGGCUUGCGCCCAUUGCCCAAUAUUCCCCACUGCUGCCUCCCGUAGGAGUCUGGACCGUGUCUCAGUUCCAGUGUGGCCGAUCAGCCUCUCAGCUCGGCUACCCAUCGUCGGCUUGGUGAGCCGUUACCUCACCAACUACCUAAUGGGACGCGAACCCCUCUCUCAGCGGAUUGCUCCUUUGACCUCUCCACGAUGUCAUGGUGUGGUCUUAUGCGGUAUUAGCACUUGUUUCCAGGUGUUAUCCCCCUCUGAAGGUCAGGUUGUUCACGCGUUACUCACCCGUUCGCCACUAAAAUUUAUCUUCCAUCCGAAAACUUCCGAUAAAUCUCCGUUCGACUUGCAUGUGUUAGGCACGCCGCCAGCGUUCGUCCUGAGCCAGAAUCAAACUCUGA
rnacentral:rRNA from 1 species